rnacentral:lncRNA from 1 species
AUGCGGUUCUGUCUGCAGCUCCAGCUGCCUGCUGCCAGAGGAGACUGUCACAAAGAGGGCAGUGAGGUGGAAAGUGGCCAGCACUGGGGAUGGGCCCACGCGAGUGUGGACAGGUUUGCAGUGCUGUAUCACCUGUGGACUUGGGAAGCCACUCUUCUGGAAAACAAGCGCCAGGUAUUUUUUUUUAAAUUAAAAAAGAUUUAUUUAUUUAUUCGAAAGGCAGAAUGACAGAGAGAGAAAGACAAAGACAGAGAGGGAGAGAAAUAUCUCCCAUCUGUUCAUUCAAGACCAAAAUGGCCAUGAUGGGCAGGGUGUGGCCAGGCCAAAGGCAGAAGCCUGGAACUCCAUCCAGGUCUCCCACAUGGGUGCUCCAGGUGUUUUUCAUUAGAAGGCACAACACCUGUUAAAAACCAGUCUUAAAAACAAAGCCCGAUAGUAAUUGCUGUUGUUAAACCCAGUGGGAGCUUCAGGUCAGCUGUCAACAACUGAAUACUUAUUUUAUUUCAAUCAUCUCAGCAAAUUAUGAGGACGUGAGUAGCAAGUUUUCCUCCCUGUGAUUCUGCCUCACACACACACACACACACACAAAUACAACGUGAAGGAUGCACCUUUAUCUUAUGGUGUAACCUGUGAGAUUGCUGUACAGUUUAGGCCUUUCUCAUAAGAUGUGUGCUUUAAAAAAAAAAAAAGAUUUAUUUAUUUAUUUGCAAACCAGAGUUACACAGAGAGAGGAGAGGCAGAGAGAGCAUUUUCCAUCCUAUGGUUCACUCCCCAGAUGGCUGCAACGGCUGGAACUGUGCUGAUCCGAAGCCAGGAGCCAGGAGCUUUUUCCAGGUCUCCCACAUGGGUGCAGGGGCCCCAGGACCUGGGCCAUCUUCUACCACUUUCACAGGCUGUAGCAGAGAGCUGGAUGGGAAGUGGAGCAGCUGGGAGUAGAACUGGCGCCCAUAUGGGAUGCUGGCGCUCCAGGCCAGGGCAUUAACCCAC